rnacentral:lncRNA from 1 species
AUUUUCUUCUCUACAUGUACUGCUUCAGGGCAGCUUACCCAGUGGUAUAACAAAAAAAUAAAACGUCCCUUGUUGCCUUCAGUUUUACAUUCAAAUGCUUUUUGGGUUCUUGGAGUUGGUCAGAUUUUAAGAUAGCUGCAGUGAAUGCAGUGUGACAUGAAUGCUAAUGAACAGGUUGAUCUUCAUGCAACAAGCCAUAACUACUAGAUAGGGUGGUGAGAUGGAACAUUGUUUUUCCAGAAUAAGGAGCAUAAUUGGGAAUUAUUGACCAAAGGUAGUUUUUCCUCAUCUUUUAGAUGUUUAAGGUGGAAGUGGAAGAUAUACUUAGGUUCAAAAAGUAAUUUAAGAGGUUCACUUAUGUUCCUUUCUGAUUUGUCCACCAGGACCUUUGGAUUUCAUUUCAAGGCAUCUUCCUAAUGAUUAAAUUCAGUUACUCACCCUCCUCUCUCAAAUGAGACAAAACAAAAUCUGACGCAGUUCCAGUGGCGAAUCCAGUCCUACACAAUGUCAAUGGCAUUUAAAGCCCCAAAAUUUACAGUGGAUGGUCAGACGUGGUGGCGCAUGCCUGUAAUCCCAGCACUCGAGAGGCUGAGGCAGGAGGAUUGCUGUGAGUUCGAGACCAUCCUGAGCUGCAUAGUGAGUUCCAGGUCAGUCUCAACUAUAUAGUGAGAUCCUAUCUCAAAAAAAAAAAAAAGAAAUUACAGUGGAAGCAGGGUUAAUGGAUCUAUACUACUUCAGUUACAAUCCAAAUUCAAACAUUGAUAACUGUGAGCAGUUUACUUCAACUCUCAGUACCUGUUUCUUGUCUAUCAAAUUUAGACUCUUUAUCUCACAGGCUUGGUGUGAGGAUUAAGCGAGGUAAUAUAUACAUAUGUAUAUAUUACAUAUGUAUAUAUAAGUAUACACUUAGAAUAGGGCAUAAAAAAAUUGUAUUCCAGCCAGGGAUUUAGUUCAGUGGUUCCGCCGCCUGUCUUGCAAACACAAGGACCCCAGUUCGAUCCCUGGUACCAAAAAAAAAAAAGUGUAUUCCAUAAGAAAACCAAGUUUCAGAGAAAUUAAGUAGGGAC